GAAAUGCGAUAAGUAAUGUGAAUUGCAGAAUUCAGUGAAUCAUCGAAUCUUUGAACGCACCUUGCGCUCCUUGGUAUUCCUUGGAGCAUGCCUGUUUGAGUAUCCUGAAAUCUUCAAAGUAAAUCUUUUGUUAACUCAAUUGGUUUCUACUUUGGUAUUGGAGGUCUUUGCAGCUUCACACCUGCUCCUCUUUGUUCAUUAGCUGGAUCUCAGUGUUAUGCUUGGUUCCACUCGGCGUGAUAAGUUAUCUAUCGCUGAGGACACUGUAAAAGGUGGCCAAGGUAAAUGCAGAUGAACCGCUUCUAAUAGUCCAUUGACUUGGACAAUACUUUUAUGAUCUGAUCUCAAAUCAGGUAGGACUACCCGCUGAACUUAAGC
rnacentral:misc_RNA from 1 species